GUGAGGAAUAUUGGUCAAUGGGCGAGAGCCUGAACCAGCCAAGUCGCGUGAAGGAAGAAGGAUCUAUGGUUCGUAAACUUCUUUUGCAGGGGAAUAAAGUGCGGGACGUGUCCUGUUUUGUAUGUACCCUGAGAAUAAGGAUCGGCUAACUCCGUGCCAGCAGCCGCGGUAAUACGGAGGGUGCGAGCGUUAUCCGGAUUUAUUGGGUUUAAAGGGUGCGUAGGUGGUUUGAUAAGUCAGCGGUGAAAGUUUGCAGCUUAACUGUAAAAAUGCCGUUGAAACUGUCGGACUUGAGUGUAAAUGAGGUAGGCGGAAUGCGUGGUGUAGCGGUGAAAUGCAUAGAUAUCACGCAGAACUCCGAUUGCGAAGGCAGCUUACUAAGCUACAACUGACACUGAAGCACGAAAGCGUGGGGAUCAAACAGGAUUAGAUACCCCAGUAGUCC
rnacentral:rRNA from 1 species